rnacentral:rRNA from 1 species
CCUACGGGAGGCAGCAGUGAGGAAUAUUGGUCAAUGGACGAGAGUCUGAACCAGCCAAGUAGCGUGAAGGAUGACUGCCCUAUGGGUUGUAAACUUCUUUUAUAAAGGAAUAAAACGAGGCACGUGUGCCUUUUUGCAUGUACUUUAUGAAUAAGGAUCGGCUAACUCCGUGCCAGCAGCCGCGGUAAUACGGAGGAUCCGAGCGUUAUCCGGAUUUAUUGGGUUUAAAGGGAGCGUAGAUGGGUUGUUAAGUCAGUUGUUAAAGUUUGCGGCUCAAACGUAAAAUUGCAAUUGAUACUGGCAGUCUUGAGUACAGUUGAGGUAGGCGGAAUUCGUGGUGUAGCGGUGAAAUGCUUAGAUAUCACGAAGAACCCCGAUUGCGAAGGCAGCUUACUAAACUGUGACUGACAUUGAUGCUCGAAAGUGUGGGUAUCAAACAGGAUUAGAUACCCUGGUAGUC